UGGCUUCUGUAAAUUCACAAGUUCGCAAGUUAUAGGAGUAGAAUUAGGCCAUUCGGCCCGUCGAGUUCACUCCACCAUUCAUUCGUGGCUGAUCAAUCUCUACCCGAGUGCAAUAUGAAUAUCUCUGCUAAGCUGCCCAUGGGAAAUAUGAAGUGCUGUUCCUCCUAUUUGCGUUUGGCCUCACUCUGACAGUGGAGGAGGCCCAGAACAGAAAGGUCAAUGUGGGCAAGUUGGUCUUUGUCCCAAAUGGAGACCUACAGCAGGCAGUGCUUUUCCCUGGUCAGCAGCCGUUUGUCAGCCGCCUGUCUGUGGUGUGGGAGGCCUAGAACAGUCCCUUUUGGGAAUAAGUCAGUCGCUGACAUUUUAAUGGCAGGGCUGACAAAACAUUAUUGUUUUUUUUGGAAGUUCAAUCAGCGCCAUUGUACAUGCAAAGUUGCAGUUCAUAAAUACACCAAAUCAUGCAUCGAAGACCAGUUCAUCAAAUGAAACACCGCAGAAGAGUGAGAAGAUGCCAGAGUAACUCAACGGGACAGGCAGCAUCUUCGGAGAGAAGGAAUGGGUGACGUUUCGGGUCUGAGUGUCAGGGGAGAGGGAAACGAGAGAUAUGGAAGGGCGAGGUGCAAAUACGACUGAUUGGAACAGACGAUGAUCAAGGAAAUGUUCACAUUCACAAGUUUCUUCCAGCUGUUAUCAGGGAAACUGAAUCACCCUACCACAACUAGAGAGCAGUCCUGAACAACAUUCUGCCUCUUUGGUGACUCUUGGACUAUCUUUGAUCAGACUUUGCUGCCAUAAAUGUUAUCAUGUAUUUGUAAACCGCGAAUGACUCGAUUGUAAUCAGGUAUUGUCUUUCCACUGGCUGCUUAGCACGCAACAGAAGGUUUUGACUGUACCUCGGUGCACGAAACAAUAAACUGAACUAUUGCCUG